GCUGGGCAUGGUGGUGCAUGCCUGUAAUCCCAGCUACUUGGGAGGCUGAGGUGGGAAGGUCACUGGAGCCUGGGAGGUCUGGGAGGUCAAGGCUGCAGUGAGCUGUGAUUAUGCCACUGCACUCCAGCCUGGGCAACAGAGUGAGACCCUGCCUCAA
ensembl:misc_RNA Metazoa_SRP Metazoan signal recognition particle RNA